UCCUUGGGAGAGUCAAAGGAAGGUGAC
rnacentral:piRNA from 2 species